UGGAGGGAUACCCAAGUCUGGCUUAAGGGGACUAAAUUUUAUAUUUAGUUAGGAGCUUUAUGCUUGCGUUGGUUCGAAUCCUUCUCCCUCCGU
rnacentral:tRNA from 1 species